rnacentral:tRNA from 1 species
UGGGGCUUUAGCUCAAUUGGUAGAGCACCUGCUUUGCAAGCAGGAGGUCAGGGGUUCGAUUCCCCUAAGCUCCACAAG